CACAUCAAAACAUGGAUCGAAGAAAAUACUUCUCAAAACUUCUAACGAAGAUAAAUACAAGAAAUUUUAACGGAUUGAAAUGAAAGAUUUAACGGAUAAAGAAUGUAAACAAUCUUGAAUCAAUAUUAUUAUUUUGAAGGAAAUAUUGUAAAUUUCGAGAAUGAAAAGCCAUGGUACAAUGCAUGCAAAACAUGUAAAAAAAAGUACAAUUAAAGGGAGAUCAUGCAACAUAUGACAAAUGUCAAAAUGAUGAUACAGAAUAUACACAAAAGUACUUCGAAAAAUUCAAGAUCAAAGACUCAACUGAAACAAUAACCGUGACAAUCUUUGAUGAACUUGAAACACUUAUAGAAUGUUCAGCAAUUGAAUAUGCAAGAUCAUCA